rnacentral:rRNA from 1 species
UACGUAGGGUGCAAGCGUUAAUCGGAAUUACUGGGCGUAAAGCGUGCGCAGGCGGUUUUGUAAGACUGUCGUGAAAUCCCCGGGCUCAACCUGGGAAUGGCGAUGGUGACUGCAAGGCUAGAGUUUGGCAGAGGGGGGUAGAAUUCCACGUGUAGCAGUGAAAUGCGUAGAUAUGUGGAGGAACACCGAUGGCGAAGGCAGCCCCCUGGGUCAAAACUGACGCUCAGGCACGAAAGCGUGGGGAGCAAACAGG